CACUAAGAAAGUUAUUAAUAGCCUUUAUUUAUAGGCUGUUAUAAAACAGCCUUUUCUCAGAAGCUUUGGGGCAUAUAUAAGUAGUGUUGGCAGCUGUGAUGGUGGGAGCAGCCUCUUACUGGCCUGUUGAUCAACCACACAGGUGCCCCUCUCAUACCAUGUCAACCUGAACACAACUCACAUCUGUGGUUGGAUCUACCCUGAAGCCUGGUAGAAACAGAAGAAUGGUCAGGUUAUUUCUGCAGUAUAAUGAAAUUAUGUUGCACACUAUAACAUA